rnacentral:ncRNA from 1 species
AUCUUUGGGGCGGGGCGAAAUUCCCCACCGGCGGUAUUUGCAGAUCAGCAUCAGCCCGCGAGCCGAAAGGCAUGAUUUGGUGAGAUUCCAAAGCCGACAGUAUAGUCUGGAGGAGAAAAGAU